rnacentral:rRNA from 1 species
UGGUAUUGAUUGGUGCUUGCAUCAUGAUUUACAUUUGAGUGAGUGGCGAACUGGUGAGUAACACGUGGGAAACCUGCCCAGAAGCGGGGGAUAACACCUGGAAACAGAUGCUAAUACCGCAUAACAACUUGGACCGCAUGGUCCGAGUUUGAAAGAUGGCUUCGGCUAUCACUUUUGGAUGGUCCCGCGGCGUAUUAGCUAGAUGGUGGGGUAACGGCUCACCAUGGCAAUGAUACGUAGCCGACCUGAGAGGGUAAUCGGCCACAUUGGGACUGAGACACGGCCCAAACUCCUACGGGAGGCAGCAGUAGGGAAUCUUCCACAAUGGACGAAAGUCUGAUGGAGCAACGCCGCGUGAGUGAAGAAGGGUUUCGGCUCGUAAAACUCUGUUGUUAAAGAAGAACAUAUCUGAGAGUAACUGUUCAGGUAUUGACGGUAUUUAACCAGAAAGCCACGGCUAACUACGUGCCAGCAGCCGCGGUAAUACGUAGGUGGCAAGCGUUGUCCGGAUUUAUUGGGCGUAAAGCGAGCGCAGGCGGUUUUUUAAGUCUGAUGUGAAAGCCUUCGGCUCAACCGAAGAAGUGCAUCGGAAACUGGGAAACUUGAGUGCAGAAGAGGACAGUGGAACUCCAUGUGUAGCGGUGAAAUGCGUAGAUAUAUGGA